ACGAACGCUGGCGGCGUGCUUAACACAUGCAAGUCGAACGGUGAAGCGCCUUCCUUUUUGGUGGGUGUGGAUGAGUGGCGAACGGGUGAGUAACACGUGAGUAACCUGCCCCCUUCUUCUGGAUAACCGCAUGAAAGUGUGGCUAAUACGGGAUAUUCUGGGUCUGUCGCAUGAUGGGUCUGGGAAAGAUAUUGUUUCGGUGGGGGAUGGGCUCGCGGCCUAUCAGCUUGUUGGUGGGGUGAUGGCCUACCAAGGCGGUGACGGGUAGCCGGCCUGAGAGGGUGGACGGUCACACUGGGACUGAGACACGGCCCAGACUCCUACGGGAGGCAGCAGUGGGGAAUAUUGCACAAUGGGCGCAAGCCUGAUGCAGCGACGCCACGUGAGGGAUGGAGGCCUUCGGGUUGCGAACCUCUUUCGCCAGUGAAGCAGGCCUGCCUCGUUUGUGGGUGGGUUGACGGUAGCUGGAGAAGAAGCGCCGGCUAACUACGUG
rnacentral:rRNA from 1 species